GAUGGGAGCUUGCUCCCUGAUGUUAGCGGCGGACGGGUGAGUAACACGUGGGUAACCUGCCUGUAAGACUGGGAUAACUCCGGGAAACCGGGGCUAAUACCGGAUGGUUGUUUGAACCGCAUGGUUCAGACAUAAAAGGUGGCUUCGGCUACCACUUACAGAUGGACCCGCGGCGCAUUAGCUAGUUGGUGAGGUAACGGCUCACCAAGGCAACGAUGCGUAGCCGACCUGAGAGGGUGAUCGGCCACACUGGGACUGAGACACGGCCCAGACUCCUACGGGAGGCAGCAGUAGGGAAUCUUCCGCAAUGGACGAAAGUCUGACGGAGCAACGCCGCGUGAGUGAUGAAGGUUUUCGGAUCGUAAAGCUCUGUUGUUAGGGAAGAACAAGUGCCGUUCAAAUAGGGCGGCACCUUGACGGUACCUAACCAGAAAGCCACGGCUAACUACGUGCCAGCAGCCGCGGUAAUACGUAGGUGGCAAGCGUUGUCCGGAAUUAUUGGGCGUAAAGGGCUCGCAGGCGGUUUCUUAAGUCUGAUGUGAAAGCCCCCGGCUCAACCGGGGAGGGUCAUUGGAAACUGGGGAACUUGAGUGCAGAAGAGGAGAGUGGAAUUCCACGUGUAGCGGUGAAAUGCGUAGAGAUGUGGAGGAACACCAGUGGCGAAGGCGACUCUCUGGUCUGUAACUGACGCUGAGGAGCGAAAGCGUGGGGAGCGAACAGGAUUAGAUACCCUGGUAGUCCACGCCGUAAACGAUGAGUGCUAAGUGUUAGGGGGUUUCCGCCCCUUAGUGCUGCAGCUAACGCAUUAAGCACUCCGCCUG
rnacentral:rRNA from 1 species